rnacentral:tRNA from 1 species
GGAGAGGUGGCAGAGUGGUUGAAUGUACCUGACUCGAAAUCAGGCGUACUCGCGAGAGUAUCGGGGGUUCGAAUCCCCCUCUCUCCU